rnacentral:tRNA from 1 species
UCCCUGGUGGUCCAGUUGGAAAGACUCUGUGCUCUCAAUGCAGGGGGCCCAGGUUCUAUCCCUGAUCAGGGAA